AGUGAGCGGCAAAGCUCAAUUUGAAUCUGGCACCUUCGGUGUCCGAGUUGUAAUUUGAAGAUGGUAACCUUGGGGUUGGCUCUUGUCUAUGUUUCUUGGAACAGGACGUCACAGAGGGUGAGAAUCCCGUGCGAUGAGAUGCCCAUUCCUAUGUAAGGUGCUUUCGAAGAGUCGAGUUGUUUGGGAAUAA
rnacentral:rRNA from 1 species